rnacentral:lncRNA from 1 species
GGUGUUUUACUCUGUUCUCUUUCUUGUCAACCAGCCGUUGGUGUGUUUUCAGUGUCACUGUCUGUACUAAAAGCUCAGCUCUCCUUUCUGCAGCCAUCAAUGCAGCCGGUACAGACAAAAGCAAUAAGUAUUUGUAUGCAUUGUGAGCGGUUCUGGUCCAUUUCUUGGUGUCGAUCUUCCUGUCUUAGUUUGAUGACCUGGCACUGGCCAGCCUGACUUUAGUCCAGUGGUGUGGUGGUGGUGGCCAGUCCUCAGUUCAGUCACAUUGGACGGAGCCACUGGUUAGCAUGAUGCCAUGCUGUGGGCCCAUCCUUCAGUAAAAGAUGACACGUUAUUGAUCUGAUCGUCUUUAGUACAAUGGACCAGUGUCAUUCUCUUAAUACAAUGCCGAUGGAUGGUGUCCCAAAUGCAGUAAUGGGGAUCUGCUGGUCCUCGAUCCGGUGCCAGGCCAACGUCUUCCUGAGGAAACACAACACGGUUUGCCUGUCCUUCGUAGAAUAUGUUUUUGGUCUGCCUGUUGGUACAACGGCACAAUCCACCUGUCAGUACACAAAUACCAUGGAGUCGUUCUGCCUGCCCUCUGCGCAGUGGCAUGAGGUUGGGCCACCUGUCACAGGUAUGACACGGGGUCAUGCCACUGCCUUUACAAAAGCGUGUUCUCUGCUGCAUGUGCACCCGGUUCAUACUGCUUCUCAGCAUCUCCAAGGACUGUGGAUCCCUCCGCGAGGGUGCAGUCCUGUUUUUUGCUGCGUUAACGAAGUGUCUUGACUCCAGAAGUAUCUUCAAAUCCCCUCGCAACAAAUGCAAAGGGAUUUAAGGGGCAGGGAGUGCAUGGUCAUUCUGGGCUGGUGGCAUACCAGAGAGAGGAAGCAGCAGGGCUCCUGCGGUGCUUUGCUGAGCACACAGAACAAGCUGGGGCCUGGGGAGGAAUGGCCGCAGAGCAGUCCUCCCGGGCUGUCCACGUGUCUCUUUGUUUCCAUCACCAUUUACAUCUGCCAUCAGCACAAAUGUGAAAAUUCAGGGAAAACAAACAAAUGCUUUUUGAUAAAAGUAAAUAGUUGUGAUUUCCGAUUCAGAUAUUUUUAGAGCUGAUGCUAUCUGUAAAAAUUAAUAAUAAUAAUUAAUGAUAAUAUAGUCUAUUUUACAUAUCAGGAAAGUGAACAUGUUUAAAUAUAGCCAUAUAUCGCGAGAAGGAACUUACCACCCCUUCUUCAAAUCGAGGCAUUUCAUUUGCUGGUUGAAGCAGACAAGAAGUGUACAGAUUGGAAAUGAUUUCUUUCUUUUUUUUUCUAAACUAAUAACCAAUUGGUGCAACUCUCCUUGUAACCAAAGGCCCUUUCUGCCUUGUGUGGUCAUGCGGGACCUAGCCCUUCCUUCCUUGUGUAUUUUGUCUGAACUUACAGUAGCAUUUUAUUGAGUCACUUUUGAAGGAUGAAUUCAGAAGUAUCAUUAAGAACCUACCUUUUCAGGCUUAAUAGCCAGAGUCCUAUAGAGUUCUUAUAGAAACAGAAUAAUUGAAACUCAGCAUAUACUAUGCUUAGAAAGUAUUGCAUUUUGUUUUGGGGUUUUCCUUUUACUUGUGGAUGUAUUGUAGGAAUAUAGCUUUUAUCCUGUGCCGAUUCAAAAUAGAGUAUUGUCAGUUUUCCCAGGCCCCCACCUGCCAAAAAGUGACACACUCACAUUUUUAACGUGUGUACGCCCUACCCAAACCUGUGUAUGCGCACUGGGAAAUCUACCUAAGAGUCUCCACUGAGAAGCUAACCUCGAUGGCCGGGUGUUGAUGGAGGAGAAGAAAGUGAUGGUUUGGAGGCCAAUCCUGCUUUAACUUGGUGGUCCAUGUCCCACCCAAUUCCUGAACCAACGAAAGUGGAGGGGGGAAAGAACAAGUCAACCCAAAGAAAUGAACCAAGGGGCUGGAGGUGGAUGGACGCCUGGUCCCUUGGGCAAAUUCAGUAACACUUGUCAAGAACCCCACCAAACUUCCACCAUUACCAAAAAGGGCUAGGGACCAGGUAGACAUGCAUCCCGAUCACAUGGGGGACCAGCGAUGACCAGCGGAGAGAGUUGGGCAAGCUCUGCAGGAGUCUGUUUAUUCACCUUUUUAUUUUGGGGUAAAGAAAAUCAAUAGGACUUCGGUGCAGUAGAUUUCUCAGUGCCUUCUUUAGGAAUUUUUUCUUAAGCACAUUUAAUGGGGAAAGAAAAAAGAGGAAAGAACAUUUGUUCCUGUGCAACCCCUUUCUCUAAAAACAUUGGGGAAUCGAGAAGGAAGAAGAUGACAACGAUGGGGAGACAGCAAAACCCUGGGCAGGCCGUUUCCUUUCCACCCACCUGGCUUGCCCCCACGAGUUGCUGGUGACACAAACUUUUUCAAACGGAUUCCCAGCCUCUCCUCCACCGUGUCUUAGUAACUGUAAGCCUCAUCCCUGCCCUUUUCGCCUAAUAAGAUCCCCGUUUCUAAGGAAAAAACAAAAAACAAAAAAAACAGAACCAUGUUCUCUUCUGUAAACCUGUGAUGUAUUGUCGAUGUUUGUAACUAUUGUAUAUUUCUGUCUUGCUCCACGUCAUAGCUGGAGUGUGUAGUCCAUGGGCAAGGGGACAUUUACAAGUCACCACGGACAAGGGUCACUCAAGCCAGGUGUCUCUCUCUCUCUCCCUUCCUCAUUUCUCUGCCAGCUAGUCUCAAGUAACAUGACCCCAGGUUUCAGCCUCCCAUCAAGUCACUUUGAAUCCAAUGAAAGCAUGGCAAAAUGCCUCUACGACGGGAUCCUUUGGGAAAGGACUUUUUCUAGGGCUGUGAAGUUGGCAGGAGAUAAUAGGGGGCUCCCCUGACUCCCCCAGCAGGUCCGUGGAGAGCCUCCAGACCUGAGCUGAAAUUCCCUCGCCUCCCACUGCUUAUAUGACAGCAUCCAAACGCUUUCACUCAACCCGGGCGACCCCAAGCAGCCCUGGCUACACCCAGAAAUAAGAGUUACCUCUGCAUUUUCUGUUGCCAUUUUUCGGGCUCUAGAAGUAUCUGAUGUGUGAUUACAUCACAGGAUGUCCACGCAUCUCAGAGUCGUCUAUUUUUCUGUUAAGAUAAAUAUAUAUAUAUAUGUAUUUUUAGCAAAUUUAUAAUAGGGCCAUUGAGUCUAAUUUCCUCUUUUGUGAUACAGAACAACAUCUUAGGAGUUUUCUUGUUGGUCAUUAUUGCAGCUGUUAUCUCCUGGUCUCUUUCACUUUCUCCCAUUUCUCCUGGGGCUGUUUUUUCUUUUCUUCUUUUUCAUUCUGAUUUUCUGGUGGGGAAAGACUUUGGGGUCCGACUUCCUCAUGCAGGCAUUUCCUGACACAAGGCCUAGAAUCUGUUGACCUGUUACUUUCCUCAUUCUGUCUGUUCUAUUUAUUGUUCUUAAGAAUCCAGAGCACAGAUGCAGGAAUGAGACCAGGAGAAGCAGGGCUACAGAUGGCCCUCAAAAUCAGGAUGGGAUGUGGGCUGGUUCAGCUCAUCCUCCAUACCCUUCCGGGGAUCUAAAGGGACUGAGGUUUCUCACUCCCAGAGAUCUUGGAAUCUAAAAUCUCUUGCAAGAAAACCUCCCUCUGGCAUUUCCGAGAUUCAAAAGACACCUAAACCCCUCGUGGCUGCCCUGUCAUCACGUCCGGCACCCUGCUGCCCUGUGACAUCCACAGGAUCUGAAGGUCAGGGCACUUUCAGGUCCUCGCAAAACUUGGAGAAAAUGCUGGGCCUCAGAUCUCAUCCGCUUUGUGUCAAUCCUUCAUUUCAACCCGUUUCCAAAAGCCUCACCAAAAAGCAGUGACCAGACAGGCUUGCAGCCAAAUCUGAGAAGACGUGUCCCUAGAAUCUGCCGUCUCAUCUCCCCUUCCCUUUCCAGCUGCCUGGCUCUGUGAAGCCAGAGCUUCAUGGCAAGGGCAGCGGUACUUUUCCAGCUUCCGCCUGUCCAGGCCCCAGGGAUUGUCUGUAAUUAAGUCCACCAGGUGGUUUCCAGGCCUCAGGUGGGCAGAAGACACCAAGCAGGAUCGUCAGCAGAAAGUCAUGCUCCGUCCAUCAGCUGGUGCAGGAAGGUGGAGAAAGCCCAGCGUCGCCGACACACACAAGCAGAUUUCCAUUUCCCACCUGACUCGCUGGUGGCUUCAGGGCUCCGCCUCUGCGCAAGUCAGAGCUCUGAGCCAAAUCACCCCAGAGGGCAGUGGGCCAUUCCCCCCUCCCCCAGGAUCAACCCCGCGGAGUUGUGGACUAAAGACUCUCCUCCGAGUUUUCCCACCCCUCAAAUUCCUGUUGAUCCAGUUUGAACCAGAGCCAAAUGAAACAGACAAGAUUUUUUUUAACUUUUGCACAAGAAUAACAACAGAAUCAUCUGCUAGUAGCACACUAGGUUUGCUGCCCAGGGAAGCAAAUACGCUUGCCUCUGGCUGUUUUCAUCUAGAGAGAAGUCAUAAAGUUGGGGUUUCCAUCCACUGACCCUGAUAUUGUCUCAACCUGGAAUUUCUUCUACUGAACUCCCCCGAAUGCCGUCUUGAAGAAAUGGAUCUGGAAGGGGCUCUGUUAGUCCGGUGGCCCCUCGUCUUCACCGCUAACUCUAACCCCCCGUUCCUCCCUGCAAAGAUCCUGAAAAGAUCUCAAGACUGGCGGAGAUGAACUGGAGUGGGACGGUUCACCUGAAGAAGAGACCGCCUGCCCACAGGGUGGCUGCUUGCAAGCCUCUGAAAGCUUCUCCUGCACGAAAGGGACAAGGCAGUCCAUUUCUGCUUAGAUUAAGAAAGUGCUUCUAAGGAGGGAGGGGGGGGGCUACCUAACCAUAGAACUUGCUGCCAUGUUGGGUAAUGAGUUCCCUGACAUCACAGGUAUUUAUAUAGAGAGAGGCUAGUUUAUGUACAGAAUGGAUGUGGCUGAGGGACCAUAGCCCUGCAUGCCACUGGACCAAACGUCUGGGGAAAUCCUCUCUCCACCACCACCCCCGCCCCACCCUCUCCCAGUAUAUAUGUGUGGGUUUAUGUGUGGUUUGACCAUCAGAGCACAGGCUCAAACCACUGGGGCAAAAGCAGGGAGCACCGUUGGCAGAAACUCAAAUUCUAGAACUUGGAGCUUUCUGAGGGGAUGUCAGAAAGGGAAAUGACAGCAGAAUACCUUGAUCCUCUGCUCCCCAUCUUGGACAAUUUUAGUGACCCUGUUGGUCACCUGUCCAGCUCCUCCCCAGUGCCCAACAGGGACCACAGCGGGGUGAGGCUUAUGCUCCCCUCCCCUCGACCAGCCAAGGAGCAACCAGCGCCCAUCUCUGGCUGGCCUUCUCACGGUGCUUCAGCCCUUCUGCCAGACCCUGUGCCCUCGCCGGCUUCAGGCUCCCUAAUGAGACACAGUUAUCUUUACCCGGUCUCCAGCUGCCUAAUGAGAAACUGAUCAGGCAAUAGCAAAUAGCACCAUCCAAAAAGGGCUUUUUUUUACCCCUGGCAAAUAAAGCAGGAAAUCCCAUUGAAGACCCUUGAAAGUCCCCACCCAAUGAAGUCCAAAACGGCCAAAAGAGAGAGACAGAGGUGAUCCAGUUUUACAGCAAAGCAAGGCUUAGGCCCCCUCCAGGUAGAAGGCCCUCUCUCCCACAUCCGUGUCCCUUCCUGAGUGAGUCCGGAUGUCACUCUCUCCCAAGAGAGCAUUUGACGAAAGAGGUUUCAAAGCUCCCCUGACUGUGUGUGGUAUGCUUGGAGGAGGUGGGUGUCAGCGUGACCCCAAGUCCAGGAAGCCUCAGGUUGCUUCAUUAUAGGAUGAGGCAGAGCGAUAGGUUUGGAUGGAUAGUCUGAGCAGCUGCCUUCCUGCUAAACCAAAUUUAAACAAAAGCCCAGUUUCCAAGAUCCCCCUCUGAGGCUCAGUCCUGCAGGAAUAGCUCAAGUUCAUGGCGGCAAUGACAUGACCCUUCUGGAAAUGAAGAAAACUCCCAACUCUGUCCCAUUAGGAUGCUCUCCAGGGUCAUGCAUGGAUCACCGCGUACUUCCUGCCUCCCUAAGCUGAUCUAGUUUGGAAAACAAGGAGGGACAUACAGGAGAAGAUGUCCACGAGCCUUGGACUUCUGCACAGUGUGGCUCAGGCCCCCUGCUCUUCACGAGGGCUUUGGGGUCCCUCUCAGAUGGACCUGACAUCUGAGCUCAGGGUGCCCGGGGGGUGGGGUGGGGUGAGGAAGAGGAAGAUCAGCAGCUGCUGGGCUGCACCGCUGGCUCCUUUGCUCUCGAGGCCUAUCGUGGCUUCAGUCCAAGGUCAAGGAACUCAGGGUUAUCCCCCAACAUACGACUUUGGCACAUAGCGGUCCCCCAAUCUCUAUCUUUUUUUUUCUUGAAUGAGUGACUGUGUCAAUGAUUGACUUCUGAGUAGUGGACGGAUGAGUGAGGGUGGGAGAGGCUGGAGGAGUUCAUGCGUUCUCACCUGGCUUGAGGUGUUGCUAACUGCGAAGGAAGAAGUGGGGCGCCCGUAAGCCUCGCCAGUGCCAUCUCUUCUUCGACUCAGUUCGGGGCCAAUAUGAUGGCCAAAUUUGACACUUUUCUGCCCCAAGGGCCUUCUCAGAGCUAUACUUCCAGGGGCCCAGGGGGCAGCCCUGGCCUCCUCCCACCUCUCCUGCUCUGUUUGUCAGCCUCAUGUUCUAGUUCAGCUCACACAUAGCCCAUGGGAGACCACAAAGUGGUCUUCCCAUAGGCAAAGCCAAGGGUCCAAGGUAAGGUUUUCCCUGGUCUGGGACUUGCUGGGGACAGGAAUGUGGGAGCUGAUAUCUGGAAACUGGAUCGCAUUCCCUGAGCCGUGGGAGUUGAGCUGGAAAAGAGGGCCAGCCUGUCCUCCAGCUUUUAGAGCCAAAGGGUCUUCCUUUUUUCUGAGCCCAAAGCCCCCAUGGUAGCAUGCUCCCUGACCCCAUCAGCUAAGACCCUCUGUCUCUCCCAGGAACCAUGGGGUGAGGUUGAGGCUUUUCUGCCAGCAAAGCCAUUCUGAUCGCCCCACCCAUAAUGGGGGCCAAGCCAAUCACAUUAGCCAUAAAUGACCAAUGUCCUUAGCCAUUCUUUUCUUGGGGUCGCGUUCAUGGGUCUGUUCAUCUCUGGUCAGUUGAUGUCUCUAGUCUUUCCUAUAAAGGUGAAAAUGAGCAUCACACACACACACACACACACACACACACACACACACACACGAGGAAACCAAACAACAAAAAAACCCAGUGUCUUUUUAUGCAUGUGAUGAGAUGAAAUCGUGACCUCCAGCUGCUGUCCUGUCUUGUAAAAUACGUCCAAAUGUUUAAGAAUUUCUAAGCAAAUGGUCCCUUAAUGAGUCUGCAGAGUUCAAUAAAAAGGUAUGGAG